ACUUCUGAGCUGGCUUUGAACUGUGAUUUCCACCUCCUAGGAAGUUAGGAUUGCUGAAGGCUUGUGGUAUAGAAUUCUUAUACCUUGGGACCUAGCAUCCCGUACCUUCUCUUGAUCAGACCCAGAAGAACAGUGACCUCUAUUCUUGGCCUCUUUUCUUAAACUCCUGGUAGUCUUUCACUAGCUGACAGCCACCAUGCAUGCAUGGCCCAUCAGCAGAGACACAGGAAUAUGUGGAACUUUUGUUUCUUUUUUCUUAGUUCAGUGACUUUCAGAUUAGGCCUUAUGGACUUUUGUCUACUGAUAAGUACAUCUCAAGUUUGAGAACAAUCACUAACAAUAGUGCAAUAAACAGUUGGAUAAACAAUUUAGUGCCAAGAAUAAUUUUUUUUCUUGUUAAGUGGACAUUCAAGUUGAACUUCACAAUAGAUGUUAACUCAUUGUAAUCCAGGUCAGGACCUAAACAUUCGUUUGUCUAGUCAUUCUUAUUGUCAGGGCAAUGUGUGUUGAAAUGAGCCUUCUUUCUAUAUGGUGGAUAAAAAAAGCAUUGUUUCAUCAUAAUUUAGUUUGUUUCAGCUUAACAACAACAUUGGAGUCCAUGUCUACUUGCAUUUUUAGUGUGAUCAUUUUCUUCUUUUAAUACACCUGUUGAAUGUGUGGUCUUUCCCCUCCCCCCCCAUUUCUGAUGAAAAUACAUAUACAUACUUGGGAAAACCUUUGAAACAAUGUAAUUUUCUAAUACUAGUGAUAUUAUGACUAUAUAUAGAUUAUAUUUCUCAUAGAAGUUUGUGCUUUCUCCUGUACUUGUGGCAGAGCUGUUGUUCUUUUGUAUGUUUUUAUUAGCUUUUCUUUAUUAUAUAGUGCCAGUUCUCUAUAGAUUAUUAUGUUAAACCACUUACUUUUCCUGGUCUUUCAUUUUUGUUUUUGUUUUCCUGGCUUUUAGUCAUUUUAUGUUAGCCUCUCUCCCCCCACCCCCUCCAGGAAAGUGCCAAGAAAUAACUAAUAAGGAAAUGCAAAUGAACUGACUUGACAGUAUGUCACAUUCUGCUUUAGAGUUUGGUUUAAAAGAGUAGUAAAAACUACUGGUCAAAAUAAGAUGUUUUGAUUAGGGUUAUUGAAAGCAAUUGGAUUUGUUGGAGAAAGGGAGGGGAAUCAGCACAGGACUGGAUUCCUCAGCUUUCUUCUGGUCAUGGCUUUAUGCUUUGGGAGGGUGCUUGGCAACUCGGGCUGCGUUGGUCAAUGAUUUUCCUCAUCUGUCUGUUAAACAAUCUCACAAUUCCUCCAGAUCCAGCAGCACGUUUCUGGAAGUGGCUUGUUUAGAAUAUCAGUUGCAAAUGAUUUUGGACUGGUCUUCUAGUUAAAGUGAAACAUCUUUUUUUUUUUUCUUCUUUAAAUAAAUCCACAGAAUGAGAUGCCAUAAUCAGAAAACACUUUUUUAUAUGUAUGUCAUACCAAUGGCCUUAAAGACAGACAUUUUCUUACUCCUAUAGAACUAUGUAUUUAAUAUCAUAAAUAUGUAGAGAUCACUUCUCCAUUAGCUCUUUGAAAUUUCCUUUCUUACGUAUUUUCUUUGUUUUCAUUUUUAUUUUAACUACAACUGGUUGUUUUCUAUCCUCAACCAUAGUCCCGAUGGGUGUGUCUUAACGUACCUACAAAAGACUUUUGAGACUUUACAGGCAAAGCACUAACAAAGACAUUUGCAUUUCAUCCUUCUGAAAAAUAAUUCCAUUCCACAUAAGUAGUUGUUAAAUAUAAUUUGAAGAUAAGGGAAGCAAGCAUGUCUUUUCUUCUUUUGGGAUUUUUGUCUUUGUGAUAUCAGCUUAUUUGUUUUUCAAAGGUAAGUUGCCUUUCCUUGUACACACAGUUAUACACACUGAUUAUUUCAUCACGUGAAGAGACCACUUGUUAAUAAUAGUGAUGUUAGGAUAAGGAAGAUGAAACUUCCUUUCCUAAAAUCCAUCAGGUUGGAAUAUUACCAUACAUCUGAGAGACAUACUUUGAAUUUUAAAACAAACUGAGCCUAGUGAAGGAAUUUUAAAAAUGUAAGACAUUUGAGAAAUACUUGAUGGAUUUUGUCAGACUUAUUCUGGAAGAAGGGAAUAUAAUUAGUACAUCAUAGUAAGAUGGUCUAUAAUUCAAAGAUGUGGAAUGAGACACACUGAAUAGAGGCCAAAGGGCCACAGUUUUGGGCUCUAGGUUAGGGACAAUUUGCUUGAACAGUUGGUUCACUGUGAAAGGCCUACUGAUGGUAAUGGCUCUUUAAAGCAGGAGGUAGAUUAAAAACUGAGCAAAGGUAAUAUGGAAAGGGAUCUAAGCAUUGGUUGGGGAUUGACCUAGAUAAUUCAACAACCUAAAAUUCUGUAUUUAAAAUACUUUGCCCAUGAAAAGAUGUUCAGUUUAAUAUCUGUUGACCCAUACCAUCUGUUGUUUUGGGGUUUUUUAGAGAUUUUAGAAAACUCUUGAAAGGCACUUGAUGGGUUUCCUUGAUUCUCUUGAGAAAGUGAGCUUAACAGAGCUGAGGCCAAAUUACUUUGUGGAGAAAGUAACAAACCACAGGUCUUUAAUUUGAAGUUUCAAUUUAUCAUAACUUUGAUGUGAAUAAUUAUAAGCAAUUUUUGCUAAUCAAAGCUAAUGGAAAAAAUUGUUUCACUUGCAAAAGAACUGAUAUCCUUGAUAGACUGAUGGCUCUUCCUUCAUCUUUGAAAGUAAGUUGUUGGCCCUGAAUCAGUAUGGGGACAAAUAUUCUUUAGUUUGGGUGAAACUUUUGACUCCUCUGAACAAGAGCACAAAGGCUACUCAGCAGUUAGUUCUCCAUUGACUUCCUGAAGUACACCAAUCAAAGUUUUACUUUUCCACUGACUUACAGCAGAAUCAGACAUUCUGUGCUUGAGUACUUGAAGAAAUCUGUGGUAGGUGGUAGCUUGGAGAUACACAGAAGGGGGACUAGUUUAGGUGUAAGAAGCCCCAGAAUGUACAAGUUACCUGUGACUUUAGGCAAAACACAAUAUCUGGAGCAUCAGUUUUCUUACAGAUGAGACAGACCUGUCAGGAUUAGUGUGCAAAUUAGAUGAGACAACUUGAAGCUGCAAUGUUCAGUGGAUAGCAUUCCAAUAUUAGUUCUUUUCUCCCCAGUGAAGAGACAGGAGCCUGUACUCUUAAGAUACUUGGGAGACUAAGGUGGGAGGAACACUUUGAAAUUGGCUACCACAACACUGAAAUAGUUGACAAAACAAAGAAAGUUUCUGCCUUUAAAGAAGGGAAUUCCAUUUCUGAAAAGGAAGUCACUUAUUUGACUUGCUUUUAGACAUUACUGUCAAUAGUUGGUUUCUUCACAUAUUUCUUGAAAGACAUUGUAUCCCACUACCUGUCUCUCGGUGGCAAUUCCAGGGUUACAAAUUCCUUAAUAUCAGGAAACUUAGUCUUAGAGCUGAAAUACCUCACAAUGCAAUUGAAACCUCUUCUUGAUCUCAUUCUCCACGGGAAGAAAAAUGGGCAGAUCCAUAUAUUUUUAGGGAGCCAUACUUGGCAUUUAUUCUGUUUCCCUUCUGGCUAAUACUUAAGGUGAUAAUUAUUUCCUUGGUGAAUGUCAGAAUAAGUAUUUACUCUUAGCUUCUUAUUGGAAUCACAUUUAGAUCAUAAGCUUAUUAUUGUUUAACUCCAAUUAUACAUGUAUUUUUCUUCUUUGGUUAUAAUUGAUAACUGAUUCAUAACUGAAUGCUUCCUUAUUGAAGAAUGAUUCUGGUUGUGUGGCUCUUUUAUUUCCAUCUCUUGGUAAAAAUGGAGUCAUAAAACCUAGUUAUAUGGUCUACUUUUAGAAUUUACUUUCAUAUGUGACAUUAUUUGUGAAUGUAAUGACCAAUACUGAAGAAGUCUUUUUCCCUCUAUUUGUGCACUGUAUUUUGAAAUAAAAAUUGGAGUGCCAAAUGCCUAAUAAAACCAAAAUUCAUAUACAGAAUAACAAAAGAAAUCUGGUCUGUUAGAAUAAUUUACCAGGUGGCUGAACAGUUGCACAGCUUAUUGUUUAAGGUUUGCACAGUGAUGCCUGGAUUAAAUAACAAUAAUAAAUGUGAUUAGCCCUCUGGAAAACCAAGCUGCUAAAUACUGAUUUCUGCAAUGUAACCAGUAGGAUAAAUAUUCUCUCAUUCUAUACAAUUGAAAGAUGUUAGUAGAAUUUUCUUGUAGGCUAUUUGAUAAAUAACUUCAAUUUUUUAAAACUUUUUUCUUAUUUCUUUAUGGCUGGUUGGGUUUUUCAUGACAUGUUGUAGAACAUUUCAAAUGAAUGGCAUGCUGGCUUUAAUUUUUACUCAAUGACAUAUCUUCUACACAUACAAGAUGGCUGGAGCUCCUUUGAUGAUAUAAAAGGAAGCUCCAUAAACCUAGUUGAACUAGUGCAUGAGUAAAACCACUGUUUUCAGGAAAAAAAAAUCUUCUCAAAAUUUCAAAUAAUAAGGACCUAAGAAAAGAAUUUUGGUAAAAAAGAAGUGUGCCAUAUAUAUAUAUAUAUAUAUAUACACACACACAUACAUAUAUGUGUAUAUAUAUAUACAUAUAUAUAUAUUACUGCACACAUUUUAAUGCAUGACUUUUAGUAUAGGGCUGAAGUAAAAUGCAAAAUAUAUAAUUCUGGGAUGUUAGCAGCUAAUUAAAUAUUUAGCAAGGCUGCUUUAUAAAGAGUUAGAAAAUCCUUGCUCUCUCUCCUUUUCCUAGCUCUCUUAAAACUUGAGUGUUUAACAUACACAUUUCAACAAACAGAUGGAUCAUUGAGUUUUAUGAGCUCAAUUUUUAAUAUUUGGCUAUUGGUUUAUGCAUAAGAUCUCAGUAAAAUUCAUAUACACAUUAUAUAUAACCUAAUUGUCAGCUUCAAUAUAAGCAUAGUACUUAAUUUUAAAUGUUAAUGUGCAAAUAUUACAAGGUAUGCUUUGUCUAUGUAAUAUUAUUUUUACUUAACAAAAAGCCCUUCAGAAAUAUAAGCCACUGAUAACCUGUGUGCAUUAGCUUGAAAACAUUCUGUUGAAACAUUCUGUGACUUAUGAAAAAUUCAACAUAAAAAAUGCGGACUGGAACAGGAACUUGAAAAAAUAUUUUUAAAUAAAAUUAUAUACCUCUUUUUAAAAUGAAGAUGUAAUUCGUAUACCAUGGAAACUCACUAUUUAAAAGUGUAAAAUUCAGUAUUUUAGUAUGGUCACCCCUUGUGCAGUGUUACCACUAAUGUCAGAUCAUUUCAUCAUCCCCCCCAAAGAAAUUUUGUGUCCAUUAGCAGGCAUUCCUCCCUCCCCAGCAUCUGGCAACAACUCAUCUGCUUUCUACUUGUCUAGGUUUGCCUAUUCUGGACAUUUCAUAGAAAUAUAAUCCUACAAUAUGUGGCCUUUUUGCAUCUGGCUUCUCAUAUUUAACUUUUCUAGGUUCAUCCAUAUUGCAACAUGAAUCCAAAUAUGGUUCAUGGCUAAGUAGUAUUCUAUUGUAUGUAUAUACCACAUUUUAUUUCCCCAUUCAUGAGCUGAUGGGCAUUUGGGUUGUUUCCACCUUUUGGGUAAGUAAUGCUGCUAUGAACAAUUAUGUGAAUUGUGUGUGUGUGUGUGUGUGUGUGUGUGCGCGCGCGCGUGCAUGUGUGUGUUACCACAUCUCUCCUAAAAACAAUGAACCUAACAAAUCCAGUCAUUUGAAUUUAUUCAAAGAGAACCUCUUAAGUCCUUCUUGGAGAAUGCAAGUUCUGAUUUUAGUUAAAUCAAUUAGGAGACCCCUGAAUUGUUAAUUUUCCAAUACAUACAAAAGAAAUUUUCUGAGUCUGUCAUUUAGAUAGGAUAAUUUUAUGAAAACUCUGCAGGCUUGUAGAAAUUGCAUUGUUAUCUCAGAUAAUUUCUCAAGGACAGCUAUAAGUGAUGCUGAAGAGAGCUAAUCUUUUGGGAUUCAACAAAGAAACAUUUUUAAAGGUAUAUUUUCUUUUCUAUAUUGACUGUCUUUAAAAGUUUGGAAAAAGGUCAUGAAAUCAUCAAACCACCUGACUGUUCAUUGUAGCUUUUUAUUAUUAAGAAAUAAUUCAUACUAAGAGUAAAAGUAAAAAGAAUGUAUUUUGUGUGCUAAGAAUGAAUGUAUUUAAUGAAACCUUUUUAUUUGUAACAGUUUUUUAAAAAGCUAAAUGGAAAUUGCUUUCCCAUGUACUUGUAUGUAAAUAAACAUUUCCUGUUGCCCACA